rnacentral:rRNA from 1 species
UACGUAGGGUCCGAGCGUUGUCCGGAAUUAUUGGGCGUAAAGAGCUCGUAGGCGGCUUGUCACGUCGGAUGUGAAAGCCCGGGGCUUAACCCCGGGUCUGCAUUCGAUACGGGCUAGCUAGAGUGUGGUAGGGGAGAUCGGAAUUCCUGGUGUAGCGGUGAAAUGCGCAGAUAUCAGGAGGAACACCGGUGGCGAAGGCGGUCUCUGGGCCAUACCUGACGCUGAGGAG